UCGCCGAAAGAGGGUCCUGCGGCCGAUUAGCUAGACGGUGGGGUAACGGCCUACCGUGGCGAUGAUCGGUAGCUGGUCUGAGAGGACGGCCAGCCACAGGGGAACUGAGACACGGUCCCC
rnacentral:rRNA from 1 species